rnacentral:sRNA from 1 species
GCGUAGAUCUCGUCGGCGAUGAUCCAGAGGCCAUGCUCGCGCGCGAGCGCCAGAAUGGCCUUGAGAUCGUCGUG